UUGGAGGGCAAGUCUGGUGCCAGCAGCCGCGGUAAUUCCAGCUCCAAUAGCGUAUAUUAAAGUUGUUGCAGUUAAAAAGCUCGUAGUUGAAUUUCGGGGUUCAUCCGUUGGUCGGGCUUUUUUGGUCUGUACUGGCGUGAUGGAUUCCUACCUUCUGAAUAACCAGCAUGUCAUUAAUUUGGUGCGCUGGGGAAGCAGGACUGUUACCUUGAAAAAAUUAGAGUGCUUAAAGCAGGCUAUCGCCUGAAUACAUUAGCAUGGAAUAAUGAAAUAGGACGGCAUGGUUCUAUUUUGUUGGUUUCUAGGAUCACCGUAAUGAUUAAUAGGGAUAGUUGGGGGCAUUAGUAUUCAAUUGUCAGAGGUGAAAUUCUUGGAUUUAUUGAAGACUAACUUCUGCGAAAGCAUUUGCCAAGGAUGUUUUCAUUAAUCAAGAACGAAAGUUAGGGGAUCGAAGACGAUCAGAUACCGUCGUAGUCUUAACCAUAAACUAUGCCGACUAGGGAUCGGACGAUGUUAAUUUUUUAAUGACUCGUUCGGCGCCUUACGGGAAAC
rnacentral:rRNA from 2 species